AGAGAGAGAGAUGAAGGGAAGGAGAGAGAGAGAGAGAGAGGGAGAGAGAGCGAAAAGGAUGAAUGAGAGUGACGGAGACGAGAGAGGGGUAAUCGUGUCUCUGCUCUACGUGCACUGGGCUGACAAACAGGUAGCUGAGUAUAUUAUGCGUAUGAAUGAGGAGGAGGGGACACUCUCUCUCUCUCUCUCUCUCUUUCUCUGUCUAUCUCCACCUCUUUCA